UGCAGUAGUAUUUCGGAUUAUUACCAUAACAGUAACAAAGGUUUCCUUAAUAGGUCAACUGAGUUGUGACAACAUAAUGUUGAUACAUAAACUGCGAUGUCACACUGAUAACUUGACAAUCUUCUUUAUCAAUUAUCAUCGCCAUAUAAUCAAGAUAUGCAAAACAUAUCAGAUGCCAUAGAGUCAGGAUAGCAGGUGUUGUCACAAACCAUACCAUUGACAUAUAUAUAGCAUCCAAAUUUAAACAAUAAACAAUAUAUAUAGAAGUUAACAUUUACAUUGAAAUCAUAUAUAUAUGUCAAUGAUCCAUACUCAUGGAAUUUUGACAGUUUUUCAAAACUUUAUUGUAUAUAAAAUCACAUGAAGCAAAUUUUCUGUCAAUUGUUUAUAUUUAUAAUGCAUGGAUUACAUUUGGAUUUGCCAACGUCAACUGUUGAGACUUGGGUAAUAUACAUAAACUAUUCAAGGAACAUAAAUUACUGCAGCAAACAGGUCAAUCAUACACAUUCAAACUUUUUGGUCGUAUAAUAGUAGCAAUACCAUACAUAUUAAAAAACUUUUGCUGGAAAUAUAGCUCUUAUUUUAUACAUCGUGGAAAUUGCAUUCAUGUUUAAACACUGUACUAGGAGCCUACAUUGAAUAUUGUUUACACAUUAUUACUCGCUGAGGCACUGUGCCCCAGACGAGUAUAGGUUUCGGCUUGCAUUUUUAACGGAUUGGCAAUCUGUAAUAGUGGAUCUCCAAUCGUCGAUAGCCACAAAAUAGAAUAUUAAUGAGCUGCCUAAUUUUCCCCCAAUUAUCCAUAAGGCUCCUACCAAUUUUACCCAAAUUAUCCAUAAAUAGCCCUCCAUUUUGAGGAAAAUUCGGGAAAAUUGAACAAUUUUACAAGGAAUUUCGCA